UCCAGCUUGCAGAGCACUUCUUGCCUCUGCGUGAAGCGGCUCGCCCACUGGGAUGCUGCUCCUGAGAUGGUUCACCUUCUCCUGCCUCUGGGUUUUUGGGCUUGGGCAGUUGAAGCAAACGAAAAUGUCGGUCACCAGAGCGACAGAUGAGAGUGCCCAAAUACCCUGUGUAGUUUCUGUUCCAGACUUCAGCACCACAGCUAUUCAUUGGUACCGGCAGAAAACAAAUCAAAAGAUUGAGUAUCUAAUAUUUGUCAGUACAAGCUACAAUCAACGCCCCUUAGAAGGGAAGAGCAAGAAAAUUGAAGCAAGAAAAGAUUCUCAAACUUCUACUUCAACCUUGACAUUAAAUUACUUGAAGAAAGAAGAUGAAGCCACCUACUACUGUGCGCUCUGGUCAGGCACAUCAUGGGUCAAGAUAUUUGCCAAAGGAACAAAACUCGUAGUAAUUCCCUCAGACAAACUCGUUGACUCAGACAUUUCUCCCAAGCCUAUUAUUUUUCUUCCAUCUGUUGCUGAAACGAAUCUCGUUAAGGGUGGGACAUAUCUUUGUCUCCUUGAGAAAUUCUUUCCUGACAUUAUAAAGGUAUACUGGAAAGAAAAAGAUAAUGAUAUAAUUCUGAAAUCUCAAGAGGGAAACACCAUAAGAACUAAUGACAGAUACAUGAUAUUCAGCUGGCUGACAGUGACAGAAGAUUCAAUAGAUAAAGAACACAGAUGUAUUGUCAAACACGAAAACAACAAAGGAGGAGUUGACCAAGAGAUUCUGUUUCCUCCAAUAGACAAAGCUGCCAACAUCAUUACUCCCACAAAAUCUGCUUUGAAGACUGAGAGCGCUUUCACAACUAUUAAUGUCAAUCCCAGAGAGAAUGUUUUCAGACAUGAAAAUGUUAACAAUGCUACUGUUCAGGAAGCUUGCUUGAAAGGAAGGAAGGAUAUGCUGCAGCUUCAGGUCACCACCACCUCUGCCUUCUACGUUUACCUCAUCCUGUUCUUCAAGAGUGUGGUCCACUUGGCCUUCGUUGUGUUCUGUCUGUUCAGAAGAGUACCUAUGCCUUGUGAUGGCCAACGUUCCUAGUGGAUGAUGAAACAGGAAGGUCAUGCUAUCUUCAUCCCUCCUACAUCUCAAUAUCUGCUGAGGGUCUAGCUUGGCUUGCUUGCUGGCUUUGACGUCCACAAGGACACAUAUGUGUGGUUUUGUAUCAUUACUAUAAUUCUCACAGCAGAGAAAUCAACUUUACUCUCUAACAAAUAGUAGCUUCCAAGCACCCAACCAUCCUGACCCAUCCUCUCUCAGUCCCUUUAGAGGCCCUAGCAACACAGGCCCAAUUUAUAUAAACUGCAGUUCCUAGUCACCCCACUUCAUGCCCUAGAACCAGAUAAUGCCCCCAAAGCCUUUACUUCAUAUGCUCUAAAUAACUUUAUUAGGAUUUGAAUUUUGUGUUUUGUUUUAUAAAAUAUAAUAAAAAAUCCAGCCUAA